rnacentral:rRNA from 1 species
UACGGAGGGUGCAAGCGUUAUCCGGAUUCACUGGGUUUAAAGAGUGCGUAGGCGGUCCGUUAAGUCAGUGGUGAAAGCCUCCAGCUCAACUGGAGAACUGCCAUUGAUACUGGCGGGCUUGAGUACAGACGAGGUUGGCGGAAUUGAUUGUGUAGCGGUGAAAUGCAUAGAUACAAUCAAGAACUCCGAUUGCGUAGGCAGCUAACUAGGCUGUAACUGACGCUGAGGCACGAAAGCGUGGGGAGCGAACAGG